GUGGGGAAUCUUGCGCAAUGGGCGAAAGCCUGACGCAGCAACGCCGCGUGCGGGAUGAAGGCCUUCGGGCUGUAAACCGCUUUCAGUAGGAACGAAACUGACGGUACCUACAGAAGAAGGAGCGGCCAACUAUGUGCCAGCAGCCGCGGUGAUACAUAGGCUCCAAGCGUUGUCCGGAUUUAUUGGGCGUAAAGAGCUCGUAGGCGGUUGAGUAAGUCGGGUGUGAAAACUUUGGGCUUAACCCAAAGAUGCCACUCGAUACUGUUCAACUUGAGUUUGGUAGGGGAGUGGGGAAUUCCUUGUGUAGCGGUGAAAUGCGCAGAUAUAAGGAGGAACACCGGUGGCGAAGGCGCCACUCUGGGCCAAUACUGACGCUGAGGAGCGAAAGCGUGGGGAGCAAACAGGAUUAGAAACCCGAGUAGUCC
rnacentral:rRNA from 1 species